rnacentral:rRNA from 1 species
GACGAACGCUGGCGGCGUGCCUAAUACAUGCAAGUCGAGCGGAAGUUGGAGAGCCUGCUCUUCAACUUUAGCGGCGGACGGGUGAGUAACACGUGGGCAACCUGCCCUGCAGAUCGGGAUAACUCCGGGAAACCGGUGCUAAUACCGAAUAGUUUUCGCCACCUCCUGGUGGCGUACGGAAAGACGGUUUCGGCUGUCACUGCAGGAUGGGCCCGCGGCGCAUUAGCUAGUUGGGGGGGUAACGGCCCACCAAGGCGACGAUGCGUAGCCGACCGGAGAGGGUGAUCGGCCACACGGGGACUGAGACACGGCCCAGACUCCUACGGGAGGCAGCAGUAGGGAAUCUUCCGCAAUGGACGAAAGUCUGACGGAGCAACGCCGCGUGAGUGACGAAGGUUUUCGGAUCGUAAAACUCUGUUGUGAGGGAAGAACAAGUACCAAUUAACUACUGGUACCUUGACGGUACCUCACCAGAAAGCCACGGCUAACUACGUGCCAGCAGCCGCCGUAAUAC